AGAGUUUGAUCCUGGCUCAGGAUGAACGCUAGCUACAGGCUUAACACAUGCAAGUCGAGGGGCAGCAUGGUCUUAGCUUGCUAAGGCCGAUGGCGACCGGCGCACGGGUGAGUAACACGUAUCCAACCUGCCGUCUACUCUUGGACAGCCUUCUGAAAGGAAGAUUAAUACAAGAUGGCAUCAUGAGUUCACAUGUUCACAUGAUUAAAGGUAUUCCGGUAGACGAUGGGGAUGCGUUCCAUUAGAUAGUAGGCGGGGUAACGGCCCACCUAGUCUUCGAUGGAUAGGGGUUCUGAGAGGAAGGUCCCCCACAUUGGAACUGAGACACGGUCCAAACUCCUACGGGAGGCAGCAGUGAGGAAUAUUGGUCAAUGGACGAGAGUCUGAACCAGCCAAGUAGCGUGAAGGAUGACUGCCCUAUGGGUUGUAAACUUCUUUUAUAAAGGAAUAAAGUCGGGUAUGUAUACCCGUUUGCAUGUACUUUAUGAAUAAGGAUCGGCUAACUCCGUGCCAGCAGCCGCGGUAAUACGGAGGAUCCGAGCGUUAUCCGGAUUUAUUGGGUUUAAAGGGAGCGUAGGCGGAUUGUUAAGUCAGUUGUGAAAGUUUGCGGCUCAACCGUAAAAUUGCAGUUGAUACUGGGUGUCUUGAGUACAGUAGAGGCAGGCGGAAUUCGUGGUGUAGCGGUGAAAUGCUUAGAUAUCACGAAGAACUCCGAUUGCGAAGGCAGCCUGCUAAGCUGCAACUGACAUUGAGGCUCGAAAGUGUGGGUAUCAAACAGGAUUAGAUACCCUGGUAGUCCACACGGUAAACGAUGAAUACUCGCUGUUUGCGAUAUACUGCAAGCGGCCAAGCGAAAGCGUUAAGUAUUCCACCUGGGGAGUACGCCGGCAACGGUGAAACU
rnacentral:rRNA from 1 species